rnacentral:rRNA from 1 species
CCUACGGGUGGCUGCAAUUAGGAAUCUUGCACAAUGGGCGAAAGCCUGAUGCAGCGACGCCGCGUGAGGGACGACGGCCUUCGGGUUGUAAACCUCUUUUGCCGGGGAAGAAGGAAGUGACGGUACCCGGCGAAUAAGCCCCGGCUAACUACGUGCCAGCAGCCGCGGUAAUACGUAGGGGGCGAGCGUUGUCCGAAGUUACUGGGCGUAAAGCGCGCGUAGGCGGCUCUUUAAGUCCGGGGUGAAAGGUUCAGGGCUUAACCCGAACAGUGCCU